rnacentral:rRNA from 1 species
UACGUAGGGCGCAAGCGUUGUCCGGAAUUAUUGGGCGUAAAGAGCUCGUAGGCGGCUUGUCACGUCGGGUGUGAAAGCCCGGGGCUUAACCCCGGGUCUGCAUUCGAUACGGGCAGGCUAGAGUGUGGUAGGGGAGAUCGGAAUUCCUGGUGUAGCGGUGAAAUGCGCAGAUAUCAGGAGGAACACCGGUGGCGAAGGCGGUUCUCUGGGCAUGUUCUGACGCUGAGGAGCGAAAGUGUGGGGAGCGAACAGG